AUCGACAUCUCUUCGUAUGCUCACGAAAUUCCAGAUGUUGAGCCUCAAGACAACAAGAAAUGAAGAUAUAUGGCAUCACCUAGGCUGAGGUGUUAAAGUUUAGAAAGAAGCUUGUAAAACGCCUCCUGGAUGAUCCAAGGACCAAAGUCAAUGAAGCUGACAGUACAGUUGACACUGCCCACAGUACUGACACUGACAAGGUUGAGGAAGUUCCUCCUCCACACA